rnacentral:rRNA from 1 species
UACGAAGGGGGCUAGCGUUGCUCGGAAUUACUGGGCGUAAAGCGCACGUAGGCGGUCUUUUAAGUCGGGGGUGAAAUCCUGGAGCUCAACUCCAGAACUGCCUUCGAUACUGGAAGACUCGAGUCCGGGAGAGGUGAGUGGAACUGCGAGUGUAGAGGUGAAAUGCGUAGAUAUGACUCGGAAGGCCAACGGCGAAGGCAGGUUACUGGUACGCAACUGACGCUGAGGCACGAAAGCGUGGGGAGCAAACAGG